GUUACUUAGUGGCGAGUUAACGGCAAUUAGCAGGAAAGACAGCAAAAAUUAAGCAAAUGAGGCUUUGGGGAUUUUUCCGAAAGAAGUCAGUGGCACACCCGACAAUCUUUCAGUGGUUGGGAAACACUGCUUUAGGCGAUGCUGAGCUAGAGGACCGAAGAAGAGCGAGGAACAGAUGUGAAGGAACAAUAAUGAGUGAAUUUUAUGGCCCUUGCAUUGUUGGGGGUGUUAUUUCAGGACUCCUAUCCUGAGGUCACCAGAACCGGCUGGAUCCAGCACCAUUCCUGCUUCAUGUUGGACUCCACUGCUACAUGUCGCUGAAUGAUGAUGACUAAAUGCAGCCGAUGCCAGCCAUAUAUCACUUCAGUCUAUUAUGAUGGACUUCAGAGGAUGAACUGAUGCCAAUUCCAACCUGCACCACCUCGGUCUAUUGAUGGACUACGAUCUUGAAAUGAAUGCAUAGACUAACUAUUGCCAACAAAAGCCUUCAUCAGUCAAUUAACAAGGACAAUUGCAUCUAUGUGAACUUCUGAAGUUAAUCAAGAUGGACUUCAAAGACUGUGGUCAUUAACCUUACAGUUUAAACACUGACCCUUAACCCUUACUUAGUUUAAUAAUUUUAAAACAUGAUUUUAACUAUACAUAAGUAAUAUUGACAUUAUAUUCAUGCUGUUAGUCAGAGGGGAACUGGCCCCCACAGUGAGUCUGGUUUCUCCCAAGGUUAUAAAACAUCUUAUGGAGUUUUGUGUUCCUUGCCACAGUCGCCUUCGGCUUGCUCACUGGGGUUAUUAAUACAAUUAUUAUUUAAUUAUUUUUAAACACGAUUAAGAAUCGUAUUUUAUCUAAAUUACACAAUGAUGAUUCAUCGACCUUAUAUACAUUACAGUUUUAUCAUCUGUUAAUGCUGAUCUUCUGUAAAGCUGCUUUGAAACAAUGUGUGUUGUGAAAGGCGCUAUACAAAUAAAAUUGACUUGACUUGACGGACAUACCACAAUAGUGCUUCCCUGUCAGUGAUAUAAUGAUGGAAAAAGGAGCUCUUAGCUGUAUUAUUUGAUGUACAAAACAAGCCUAGAUGGGACUUGUGAUAGAAAUCAAGUAUUUUCAGCACAUUUUAAUUACCGUGGCAAGUCUUAACAAUCACUCAGAUUUUCCCGUGGAGCACUGGAUGCUGGCGCUAUCACAUUAUGGAGUUGACUCGAAUCAUGAAUGCAGCUUCAAGAUUGCUUUAGGAAAUAUUGUGGAUGAUGAGAGUUUAAGAGAUUUAAUGCCCAUUGAAAUGAAUACUAAACCAAUGGGGACUAAAGCCAUCUUACACUGCAAAAUUGGCAGAGAAGAAGCAUCUGAAGUGGCAAUUAGAUAUUUUCACAGAGCAGGAAUAAAUGCAUUUACACAGCAGUUGCAAAUGCAUAAAUAAUGUUAUGAGAUGAAUAUUUUAAAUGUAAAAUUAUGAAUAUAGAAAUAUGAAAUUAAUGAAAAUAUGAAUGAAUACUAAUUCUGUGGGGACAAAUGUUUUCAA